AGUGGAUGGGGAGCAACCUAGUUGUGCGUGUGUAAAGGUAGUGCCAAGAAAAGCGGUGAUCAUGAUGAAAAUCAAUUCCCGGUACCCGAAACCGACACAGGUGGGCAAGUAGAGAAUACUAAGGGGCGCGAGGUAACUCUCUCCAAGGAACUCGGCAAAAUGACCCCGUAACUUAGGGAGAAGGGGUGCCACCGAGAGGUGGUCGCAGUGAAGAGGCCCAGGCGACUGUUUAGCAAAAACAUAGGUCUCUGCAAACUCGAAAGAGGAGGUAUAGGGGCUGACGCCUGCCCAGUGCCGGAAGGUUAAAGAAGUUGGUCAGUCUUAGGAUAAAGCUAGCGACUGAAGCCCCGGUGAACGGCGGCCGUAACUAUAACGGUCCUAAGGUAGCGAAAUUCCUUGUCGGGUAAGUUCCGACCCGCACGAAAGGCGUAACGAUCUGGGCGCUGUCUCGGAGAGAGGCUCGGCGAAAUAGGAUUGUCUGUGAAGAUACGGACUACCUGCAUUUGGACAGAAAGACCCUAUGAAGCUUUACUAUAGCUUGGAAUUGUGUUCGGGCUUCCUGUGCGCAGGAUAGAUGGGAGGCGUAGAAGGUAUUCUUGUGGGGAUACUGGAGCCAACGGUGAGAUACCACUCUCAGGAGGCUAGAAUUCUAACUUAAUUAAGGACAGUUUCAGGUGGGUAGUUUGACUGGGGCGGUCGCCUCCAAAAAGGUAACGGAGGCGUACAAAGGUUCCCUCAGACUGGUUGGAAAUCAGUCGCAGAGUGCAAAGGCAGAAGGGAGCUUGACUGCGAGAAGUACAGUUCGAGCAGGGUGGAAACACGGUCUUAGUGAUCCGACGGUGCAGUGUGGAAGGGCCGUCGCUCAACGGAUAAAAGUUACUCUAGGAUAACAGGCUGAUCUCCCCCAAGAGUUCACAUCGACGGGGAGGUUUGGCACCUCGACGUCGGCUCAUCGCAACCUGGGGCGGAAGUACGUCCCAAGGGUUGGGCUGUUCGCCCAUUAAAGCGGUACGUGAGCUGGGUUCAGAACGUCGUGAGACAGUUCGGUCCAUAUCCGAUGUAGGCGUGAGAAUAUUGAGAGGAGCCUUCCUUAGUACGAGAGGACCGGGAAGGACGCACCGCUGGUGUACCUGUUAUGAUGCCAAUUGUAAACGCAGGGUAGCCAAGUGCGGAGAGGAUAACCGCUGAAAGCAUCUAAGUGGGAAGCCCACCUCAAGAUGAGUAUUCUGGUGUAAGGUCACGGGAAGACGACCCGUAAAUAGGCACGAGGUGGAAGUGCAGAGAUGUAUGAAGCCGAAGUGUACUAAUAGACCGUCGGCUUGAUC
rnacentral:rRNA from 1 species